UACAGAGGGUGCAAGCGUUAAUCGGAAUUAUUGGGCGUAAAGAGCGCGUAGGCGGUCCGAUAAGUCGGCUGUGAAAGUCAGGGGCUCAACCCUUGGAAGCCGGCCGAUACUGUCGGACUAGAGUCCGGAAGAGGCAAGUGGAAUUCCCGGUGUAGCGGUGAAAUGCGCAGAUAUCGGGAGGAACACCAAUGGCGAAGGCAGCUUGCUGGGACGGUACUGACGCUGAGGCGCGAAAGCGUGGGGAGCAAACGGG
rnacentral:rRNA from 1 species